AAUGAACGCUGGCGGCAGGCCUAACACAUGCAAGUCGAACGGAUCCUUCGGGAUUAGUGGCGGACGGGCGAGUAACGCGUGGGAACAUACCCAAAGGUACGGAAUAGCCUCGGGAAACUGGGAGUAAUACCGUAUGUGCUCGAAAGAGGAAAGAUUUAUCGCCUUUGGAUUGGCCCGCGUUGGAUUAGGUAGUUGGUGGGGUAAUGGCCUACCAAGCCGACGAUCCAUAGCUGGUUUGAGAGGACGAUCAGCCACACUGGGACUGAGACACGGCCCAGACUCCUACGGGAGGCAGCAGUGGGGAAUCUUAGACAAUGGGGGAAACCCUGAUCUAGCCAAGCCGCGUGAUCGAUGAAGGCCUUAGGGUUGUAAAGAUCUUUCAGGUGGGAAGAUAAUGACUGUACCACCAGAAGAAGCCCCGGCUAACUCCGUGCCAGCCGCCGCGGUAA
rnacentral:rRNA from 1 species